rnacentral:rRNA from 1 species
UAUGUAGGCAGCGAGCGUUGUUCGGAGUUACUGGGCGUAAAGGGUGUGUAGGCGGUUGUUUAAGUUUGGUGUGAAAUCUCCCGGCUCAACUGGGAGGGUGCGCCGAAUACUGAAUGACUUGGAGUGCGGGAGAGGUGAGUGGAAUUCCUGGUGUAGCGGUGAAAUGCGUAGAUAUCAGGAGGAACACCGGUGGUGUAGACGGCUCACUGGACCGUAACUGACGCUGAGACACGAAAGCGUGGGUAGCAAACAGG